rnacentral:rRNA from 1 species
GUGUCAGCAGCCGCGGUAAUACGGAGGAUGCGAGCGUUAUCCGGAUUUAUUGGGUUUAAAGGGUGCGUAGGCGGAUUAAUAAGUCAGUGGUGAAAACCUGCAGCUUAACUGUAGAAUUGCCAUUGAUACUGUUAGUCUUGAGUACGGUCAAGGUAGGCGGAAUGUGUAAUGUAGCGGUGAAAUGCUUAGAUAUUACACAGAACACCGAUUGCGAAGGCAGCUUACUGGGCCAUUACUGACGCUGAGGCACGAAAGCGUGGGGAGCGAACAGGAUUAGAUACCCUGGUAGUCCACGCCGUAAACGAUGAUCACUCGCUGUUGGCGAUACACAGUCAGCGGCUAAGCAAAAGCAUUAAGUGAUCCACCUGGGGAGUACGGCCGCAAGGCUGAAACUUAAAGGAAUUGACGGGG